ACGGAGGUCCCAAGCGUUGUUCGGAAUCACUGGGCUUAAAGCGCGUGUAGGCGGGUCGGCACGUACCUUGUGAAAUCCCUCAGCUCAACUGAGGAACUGCUCGGUAUACCGCCGGUCUUGAGGUAGGUAGAGGUGCCGGGAACCUUAGGUGGAGCGGUGAAAUGCGUAGAUAUCGGGAGGAACGCCGGUGGCGAAAGCGGGGCACUGGACCUGACCUGACGCUAAGUCGCGAAAGCGUAGGGAGCAAACGG
rnacentral:rRNA from 1 species